GGUGAGGUGGCCGAGCGGUCGAAGGCAGCGGUUUUAGGUUCCGCCGAGGAGUCGCAUCUUCCGAGGGUUCGAAUCCCUCUCUCACCGCCA
rnacentral:tRNA from 1 species